UUCUAUUCCAGGGAAGAAGCUUAUUUCACUAUGGUGAAUUAGCCUUUUGAUGUGUUGCUAGAUUCAGUUUGCAAGUAUUUUGUUGUGGAUCAUUGAAUGGAUGUUCAUCAAGGAUACUGGCCUGAAGUUUUCUUUUUUUGUUUUGUCACUGCCAGGCUUUGGUAUCAGGAUGAUUCUGGCCUCAUAGAACAAGAUGGGGAAGAGUCCCUCCUCCUCUAUUUCUUGAAAUAGUUUCAGUAGGACUGGUACUGGCUCUUCUUUGUACAUCUGUUAAAAUUUGUUAAUCUAUCAGGUCCUGGGCUUUUUGGGGGUUGGUAGGCUAUUUAUUACGGAUUCAAUUUUUGGAGCUCAUAAUUGGUCUGCUCAGAGACUGAAUUUCUUCCUGGUUCAGUCUUGAGAGAGUAUAUGUGUCCAGGAAUUUAUUAAUCUCUUCUAGGGUUUCUAGUUUGUGUGUAUAGAGGUGCUCGUAGUAGUUACUGGUUGUUAUUUUUUUUUCUCUGGGGUCAGUGGUAACAUUCCCUUCAUCAU
rnacentral:lncRNA from 1 species